UGAACACCAGAGCAAAAAAGAAAAGUGCAUGAAAAAUAAUAGUUUCGUUUUAUAUGAGCAUAAUAAAAACUUACUAGUAUUAUGAAAUAUAGGAGCAUCAUCGCUUAGAAAAAAAAAGAAUAGUACAAUCGUCCUAGUAUGUUAUUUCUAUCUCACCAAGAGACUAUGUAUAUUAGAGACCACAACGCCUGUAUGUAUGUAGGAUGACCUAUUUCAGUCUUUAAUGAACCUUUCUCUACAAGUGUAUCGAACGAAAAAAGGAGAAUUUCAAAGAGAACUUCACAUAAAAAACUUUAAAGAUGAAUAUAUGAAUUAAAUAUUCCUAUAAUUUUUAUAUUUUUUUUUCUUCAAUUUUCUAUCAUUUUAUACUAUGUACUAUGUACCAUAUAAUUAGCAAGUGAUAAACUUUUUACCGUAAAAAAAUAUUAAUCUAGAAUAAUUAGAAAUUUUUACACCAAAAAAAUAAUACUGAAAAUAAAAUUCCUAUGAUCUAUUAAAAUCCCUACAAUCUUAUUCCCUAGAGUAAUACAAUUCCCCACUCCUUCGUUAAAACUGUGUCACGUGGUAUCCAUUAGUUCCGAUCGCGACGCGUCGAUCACUUGGCGUCCUGUGUUCAUGGCGAAGCCUGAAAGAAGUCUUAGGAGGAAGCCGUUGCAAGCCACCCUAAAGAAGAAGUAUAACUUCUACGAACAAUAGCCGGUCGUUAUCUUGACCGGCGCUUCGCCGCACGCAUUGUACUCGCGCUGUAUCCUUUCCGUGAACACGAUCGCCUCAACAAUGCACUGCCAUUGACUCUCUUUCACUGAAUCGUUGGAUCAGAAUGUGCAAGAAAGAAGAAGCAGAUAGAAAGUUUCUGAGUUAAACAAUUAUUAUUACAUUUGAAAAUUUAAUAAUCACAUUCCAAAACAAAAAUAACAAUAAAAAUAUUAACAAUCUCGAUUUGCCAUCUAUCACGUGUCGAAGUACUUAGUUAACCUUUUGGAAAAAUAUUCGCCCAAGAAGAGGAGUGUGGCCGUAAUAAAAAGCGGCGCAUAGAUGCAUCCCUGCACGGCAGUAAAGACGCCGGGCGAGAGACAUCCAACGAGGGAGCAGCAAACCGUUCGGGAUAUUUCGUUUCUGGCGGAAGCGUGUCGGUGUUAUCUCCGCCUCUGGCGUCAGUCGGAGCCCAGCCACGUUCGACUCGUGGCGACUUUCGUCUGAAUAAUUCCUGGUAUCUCAUUGACCCAUCUUGAGAAUGCACGUAGAAGAGGCGGGUUUCGAGCGACAGCUUUGUGGCGCCUUCGCGAUCAAAAAAAUUAAGAAACCAAGGAAGGUGGAUUAAGGAUCGCGCAAUAUAUUCGAGAUAAUUUUGCGUGCUGCGAAAUAUUUAAGAAUGGCUAUAAAAGUUGAUGGUUGUAUGAUCAUAGUUAAAUCUAAGAUUGUCUGAAAGUCGAUAUUGUGUUAGAUCAUUGAAUUUGUCUUUUUGAUGUUAGCCGUUGAUAAUAUCACGAAGUCAAUUGUUGAUAUUAAUUUUUCAUUGAAAAAAGAAAAAUUUUCAGAAAUUUUUCAUAUUUAAAUAUGUAGAUUUGAAAAAUGAUUAACAUUCGUUGCAUUUUAAGAAAGUAGAGAAUAUCGUUGUAUAUUUAGUUAUUGUACAUUGUGAAAUUAUCAAUCCCAAUAUAAUAUUUUCGGUAUUUUAAUAAUGAGAAAACAUAGAAUUUUAUUUCAAAUAUCAUUUUGUAAUUUUAAAGAUAUAUUUGAAAUAAUUAAAUAAUAUAAAUAAUCCAAGAUACUGAAUUUAUAUGACUAAAGAUAUUUUAUUUAUUUUUAUUUAUUAUUUAUUUAUUAUGUGUAGAGAAAAAUGCACUGUGCAUUUUAUGCACUGCAUAUAACUCUGAAAUAUAUAUUGCAGCAGUGAUUAAUCAGAAUUAUGAACGAUAUAUCCAGUUAGCGUAUUCUACUUUUGAAAAAGAUUACUAAAACAUAAAAAUGAGUACUUGAAAAUAAGGUCAAGCAGUACAUAUGAACUUUUAUUUUAUUGUUCCUGCAUUUAGAAUGCACUUGUUAUCUAGCUCAUAUGUAUUAUAAUAAAGCUAAAAAAUAUUUGCAUCAAAAUAUAAAUCAUGAUAAAUUACAUAUGUAUAUAAAUAUCAUAAUAACAAAGUACA
rnacentral:misc_RNA from 1 species